rnacentral:rRNA from 1 species
UGCAAGUCGACGAUGAACCGGUUUCGGCCGGGGAUUAGUGGCGAACGGGUGAGUAACACGUGGGCAAUCUGCCCUGCACUCUGGGACAAGCCCUGGAAACGGGGUCUAAUACCGGAUAUGACACGCUCCCGCAUGGGAUGUGUGUGGAAAGCUCCGGCGGUGCAGGAUGAGCCCGCGGCCUAUCAGCUUGUUGGUGGGGUGAUGGCCUACCAAGGCGACGACGGGUAGCCGGCCUGAGAGGGCGACCGGCCACACUGGGACUGAGACACGGCCCAGACUCCUACGGGAGGCAGCAGUGGGGAAUAUUGCACAAUGGGCGAAAGCCUGAUGCAGCGACGCCGCGUGAGGGAUGACGGCCUUCGGGUUGUAAACCUCUUUCAGCAGGGAAGAAGCGAGAGUGACGGUACCUGCAGAAGAAGCGCCGGCUAACUACGUGCCAGCAGCCGCGGUAAUACGUAGGGCGCAAGCGUUGUCCGGAAUUAUUGGGCGUAAAGAGCUCGUAGGCGGCUUGUCGCGUCGGAUGUGAAAGCCCGGGGCUUAACUCCGGGUCUGCAUUCGAUACGGGCAGGCUAGAGUUCGGUAGGGGAGAUCGGAAUUCCUGGUGUAGCGGUGAAAUGCGCAGAUAUCAGGAGGAACACCGGUGGCGAAGGCGGAUCUCUGGGCCGAUACUGACGCUGAGGAGCGAAAGCGUGGGGAGCGAACAGGAUUAGAUACCCUGGUAGUCCACGCCGUAAACGUUGGGAACUAGGUGUGGGCGACAUUCCACGUCGUCCGCGCCGCAGCUAACGCAUUAAGUUCCCCGCCUGGGGAGUACGGCCGCAAGGCUAAAACUCAAAGGAAUUGAC